rnacentral:rRNA from 1 species
UACGGAGGAUGCAAGCGUUAUCCGGAAUGAUUGGGCGUAAAGCGUCCGCAGGUGGCAAUGUAAGUCUGCUGUUAAAGAGUCUAGCUCAACUAGAUAAAAGCAGUGGAAACUACAUAGCUAGAGUACGUUCGGGGCAGAGGGAAUUCCUGGUGUAGCGGUGAAAUGCGUAGAGAUCAGGAAGAACACCGGUGGCGAAAGCGUUCUGCUAGACCUGUACUGACACUGAGGGACGAAAGCUAGGGGAGCGAAUGGG